rnacentral:rRNA from 1 species
UCGAGUCUUUGAACGCAAGUUGCGCCCGAGGCCAAUCGGCCAAGGGCACGUCCGCCUGGGCGUCAAACGUUUCGUCGCAUCGCGCCUCCCCCGUCUCAUCGAAUGGUGUGACGGAUGGGAGUUCUGGAUGCGUAGAGUGGCCCAUGGUGCCCAUUUGGCGCG